rnacentral:rRNA from 1 species
UACGUAGGGUGCGAGCGUUAAUCGGAAUUACUGGGCGUAAAGGGUGCGCAGGCGGUUCUGCAAGUCAGGCGUGAAAGCCCCGGGCUUAACCUGGGAAUGGCGCUUGAAACUACAGGACUGGAGUAUGGUAGAGGGAGGUGGAAUUCCACGUGUAGCGGUGAAAUGCGUAGAGAUGUGGAGGAACACCGAUGGCGAAGGCAGCCUCCUGGGCCAAUACUGACGCUCAUGCACGAAAGCGUGGGGAGCAAACAGG